GAUGAAGGUCCAGAGAUAUUUGAAUCAGAAACUUUCUUCUCUUCCUCCCUCAUCCUUUGCCCAUAAGCUUCGUAAUCAAAACCAGCUGAGCUUUUUCCCCCAAAUUCAGAAUCCAGUUUAUCCAUAUCAAAUAAUUCUUCCAUUGUCUUUUGGCUCUCUAGGUCAUUAGAAUAGAUGAACUUCACUUUCUUGUAUGUCUUGGGCUCAAUGAAUGGUUUCACCAUCGUCCAGAAGGACUCAAAGACUUUGGGGGGAUUGUAGAGGAUUGCAAGGCCCAGUCGCUCAGGAUAAUGAUUCUGCAAUAUUUUAGCUGUUUCUCGAGCUGCCUUCACUGAUAUGCUACCCAUUGUCCACCGUUGAAAAUCAAUUAACCACACCAUUUGCUCUUGAUCUGGAUUCAUAGUCAUUAUGGCAUUUUCCAUACAAUAAACCAAGUGCUUGAUCUGUCCUCCUAAUGCAGUUGUAUUCUGAAAACCAGGUCUCAUGACAAGAACAGUCCUUCCCUUCUUGUCAGAAUAAUUAGCUUUGUAGACUUUUCCAGUUUGAGCUUCAUGAGUAACAUCUUCCCAUCGGAUCUUCUCAGGCUUGAAUUCCAACCUCCACUUCAACGUUUCUUUCAACAUUUUGGCUGCCUUCUUUGUAUUCCAAUUUC
rnacentral:misc_RNA from 1 species